GCGGGUAUCGUAUAGCGGCUAUUAUGUAACCUUGCCAAGGUUAAGAUACGGGUUCGACUCCCGUUACCCGCU
rnacentral:tRNA from 1 species